GCCUGUGAACAACUGAAACAUUCUGUGUGCUUUUUCCUCCUGUUUAACAGGACACUAUUAUCUGACUGCUUGUCUUGGCUACCUGGGACCUGCAACAAGUGGCGUUCCACAGGGGAGAAUUUCAGGUCCAUUGGCUUUCCAUAAAUCUGUGACACUGCUGACUGCUGAUUAAAGACUACAGUAUUUUCCGGACGAAAUGGAGACCGCCUCUUUACCCCCCCCCACCCCCCCUCACCCUUUCUCUGGAGAAUCUUUUACUUGACAUCAUCACCUUCCUUUUUGUGAUCUUUGACAUCUCCAUCGCCCUCACCAGGGUGCUGAUUAAAAAUCAGGAGUGAUAGCUGGAGAAGGAACACAAGUUUUCACCUCUGACCUCACAAAAAAACUAACUGCUGAGGAAAAACUGAGGUGUCUUGUUUUGAAUAAAAAAAACUAAUUGAACAGUUAAAAAAAGUGUUGUUUUUUUAAAAAAACGAUUGGUUAAAUAAAAAAUUCAAAAACCGUCUUUUUUUUAAGUUUGUUAAAAAAACCAAAAAUAAACUGAAAAUGUGCUUUUGAAAAGAACUUGCUUGAAUCUAAAUAAACACAGUGGAAAAAGUGUGUUUAAAAAAAGACACUUGUUCAAAACUAAAAUUAAAAACACCCAAAAAAAUGUAAACAUUAGGUUAAAAAAAUUAUUUAAAACGGUAAAAAAAAUGUUUUAUUUAAAAGGGUAUACAAAAUGUUGUUUAAAAAGGCAUAUGGUUGAAAAAAUAAUUAAUUAAAAAAUGUUUUAAAGUGAAAACAUGUUUUUUAAAGAGACAAUAAGUAAAACAUACAGUUGAAAAUGAUUUAAGUGUUUUUAAAAAGACAAUUGGUUAAAACUACUAUUUAAAAUAGUGCCUUUAAAGUAGGGGGAAAGAGAAAAAAUUGUUAAACUACAAAAAAAACUGUUUUGAAAGACAAUUAAAAAUGACAUUAGAAACGGUACAAAUGUUGUUGUUUUUUUACAAGAUAAUUGGUUAAAAACUGGGCCUGCCUGGCAUGCUGCUAAUCAAUGUGACCUUUCAACUUAUUCACAAGAAGACGAUUAGAUAAACAUUUUUUUUUUUUUUAAACGCUUAAAACUACUAUUCAAAACAGUAAAAUAGUGCCUUUUAAAAUAGUGGGGAAAAAGGAAAAAAAUUGUUAAAAACUACAAUAAAAAAACUGUUUUGAAAGACAAUUAAAAAUUAGAUUAAAAUCAAUACAAAUGUUGUUUUUACAGGAUAACUGGCUAAAAACUGGGCCUGCCUGGCAUGCUGCUAAUCAAUGUGACCUUUGAACUUAUUCACAAGAAGAAGACGAUUAGUAAAAAAAAAAUAAUCAAAAAACAUAGUUAAAAAAAAAAAGACAUUUGCUUGAAACUACUAUUUAAAACAGUAAAAUAGUGCCUUUAAAAAAAGUGGGGGAAAAGGAAAAAAAUGUUAAAAACUACAAUAAAAAAAACUGUUUUGAAAGACAAUUAAAAAUGAGAUUAAAAACAGUACAAAUGUUGUUUCUUUUCAGGAUAAUUGGCUAAAAACUGGGCCUGCCUGGCAUGCUGCUAAUUAAUGUGACCUUUGAACUUAUUCACAAGAAGAAGACGAUUAGUAAAAAAAACAACAAAAAAACAUAGUUAAAAAAAAUAAAUAAAAAAGACAAUUGCUUAAAACCACUAGUUAAAACAGUAAAAUGGUACCUUUAAAAUGUGGGGAGGGGAAGAAAAAUUGGCUAAAAACUACAAUAAAAAAACAAAGUGUCAAUAAAAACUGUUUUUUGAAGACAAUUAAAAAUGAAUUAAAAGUUGUUGUUUUUUCUACAAGAUAAUUGGUUAAAAACUGGGCCUGCCUGGCAUGCUGCUAAUCAAUGUGACCUUUGAAUUUCAUAUAUAUAUAUCCAAUCCAAUCCAAUCCACUUUAUUUAUAUAGCACAUUUACACAACAAGAAUGUUUCCAAAGUGCUGCACAGCCAUGUUAAAAACAAUAUUAAAAACAAUAUUAAAAACGAUAUUAAAAACAAUAUUAAAAACAAUAUUAUGCUACACCAAUGACUGAAUAAAAACAAAGAAUAAAUGAAUAGAAAACCAAUACAGAGACAAUAUAAAAAAUAAAUAUGAUUAAAAACGAUUUUAAAGGGUAAAACCAAU